GGGUUCUAUAUUAAAGGCAGAGCGCGCA
rnacentral:piRNA from 1 species